rnacentral:lncRNA from 10 species
CAGACAUCACUCUUUAGAAUCCCUGCAACUUUGAGCAAGUUCGUGAAUCUCACUAAGGCUCAGUUUCCUCCAUAAAAUUAAUCAAUAUCAGGGCCUCUGCAUUGGACAACUCCAGAGGGCACCAUUGGGGUUAUACCUUGUGUUUGCCUAACCUUCAUUGCAGUGGGCAGGUGCAUGCUUUCUACAAUGUCCUAAGGUCUAAAGGGGUAGAGUUCUGUGUGUGGCAUUUUAGGCCUGGAAAGGAUGAGAGUCUACAAAACCAGAGAAAUACUGCAGAGCUCCUAAAGUCCUUGGAAUGUCCUAAGUGGUGAGUUUAUGCUAAAGAGGUAACUUUUGGAAAACCUCUAAGGAUGGGGGGCUGGUUGCCAGGGGAGCCAACCAU